rnacentral:rRNA from 1 species
GACGAACGCUGGCGGCGUGCCUAAUACAUGCAAGUAGAACGCUGAAGGAGGAGCUUGCUCUUCUGGAUGAGUUGCGAACGGGUGAGUAACGCGUAGGUAACCUGCCUGGUAGCGGGGGAUAACUAUUGGAAACGAUAGCUAAUACCGCAUAAGAGUAGAUGUUGCAUGACAUUUACUUAAAAGGUGCAAUUGCAUCACUACCAGAUGGACCUGCGUUGUAUUAGCUAGUUGGUGGGGUAACGGCUUACCAAGGCGACGAUACAUAGCCGACCUGAGAGGGUGAUCGGCCACAAUGGGACUGAGACACGGCCCAGACCCCUACGGGAGGCAGCAGUAGGGAAUCUUCGGCAAUGGACGGAAGUCUGACCGAGCCACGCCGCGUGAGUGAAGAAGGUUUUCGGAUCGUAAAGCUCUGUUGUAAGAGAAGAACGAGUGUGAGAGUGGAAAGUUCACACUGUGACGGUAUCUUACCAGAAAGGGACGGCUAACUACGUG